rnacentral:rRNA from 1 species
AGAAUCAACGCUGGCGGCGUGCCUAACACAUGCAAGUCGAACGAGAAAGGGGAGCAAUCCCUGAGUAAAGUGGCGCACGGGUGAGUAACACGUGACUAACCUACCCUUGAGUGGGGAAUAACUUCGGGAAACCGAGGCUAAUACCGCAUAACACCUACGGGUCAAAGGAGCAAUUCGCUUAAGGAGGGGUCGCGGCAGAUUAGUUAGUUGGCGGGUAAUGGCCCACCAAGACAGUGAUCUGUAU